rnacentral:rRNA from 1 species
GCAGGCCGUUUAACGUGAAUUACGGCGGCGUAAACGCCGCAGCGGGUUUGUUAAGUCAGAUGUGAUUAAAAAAAAAAGACCUGGGAAUGCUCUGAUACUGCCCUUUCUUAAAACUAGUAGAGGGGGGUAGAAUUCCCGGUGUAGCGGUGAAAUGCGUAGAGAUCUGGAGGAAUCCCGGUGGCGAAGGCGGCACCCUGAACGAAGACUGCCGCUCAGGUGCGAUGCGUGGGGAGCAAACAGGAUUAAAUACCCUGGUAGUUCACCCCGUAAACGAUGUCCACUUGGAUGUUGUGCCCUUGAGGCGUGGCUUCCGGAGCUAACGCGUUAAUUCCACCGCCUGGGGAGUACGGCCGCAAGGCUAAGCUCAAAUGAAUUGACUGGGGCCCGCACAAUCAGUGGAGCCUGUGUUUUAGAUCGAUGCAACGCGAACAACCCUACCUGGGCUUGACAUCCACGGAAGUUUUCAGAGAAAAAAAAG